rnacentral:rRNA from 1 species
CAAUCAUAUGCUUGUCUCAAAGAUUAAGCCAUGCAAGUCUAAGUAUAAGUGAUUAUACUGCGAAACUGCGAAAGGCUCAUUAUAUCAGUUAUAAUCUACUUGAUCGAUUCUGUUACUUGGAUAACUGUAGGAAUUCUAGAGCUAAUACAUGCGAAAAGACUGUACCAGGGGCAACUCUGGGAGAGUCGUGUUUAUAAGAUGAGGAACCAUGAUGGGGCAUUCAACCUAGUGGGCAACUGCUAGGGUCCUAUGUAACAGAUGAAUCAUUGUAAUUUCAUGAACCGAGGGUGAAGGCCUUUGGUGAUGCAAACGAGUAACUGCCCUAUCAACUUUCAACCGUAGUGUAGAGGACUACGGUGGUUGUAACGGGUACGGGGAAUUAGGGUUCGAUUCCGGAGAGGCAGCCUGAGAAACGGCUACCACUUCCAAGGAAGGCAGCAGGCGCGUAAAUUAUCCAAUCCCGAUUCGGGGAGAUAGUGACAAGAAAUACUGAUGUAGGGCCUUUUGGGUUCUACUAUCGGAAUGAGUACAAUUUAAAACCAUUAGCGAGGAACAAUUG